GAUGAACGCUGGCGGCGUGCUUAACACAUGCAAGUCGAACGAAGCACCUUGAUUUGAUUCUUCGGAUGAAGAUCUUGGUGACUGAGUGGCGGACGGGUGAGUAACGCGUGGGUAACCUGCCUCAUACAGGGGGAUAACAGUUAGAAAUGACUGCUAAUACCGCUUAAGACCACAGCACCGCAUGGUGCAGGGGUAAAAACUCCGGUGGUAUGAGAUGGACCCGCGUCUGAUUAGGUAGUUGGUGGGGUAACGGCCUACCAAGCCGACGAUCAGUAGCCGACCUGAGAGGGUGACCGGCCACAUUGGGACUGAGACACGGCCCAAACUCCUACGGGAGGCAGCAGUGGGGAAUAUUGCACAAUGGGGGAAACCCUGAUGCAGCGACGCCGCGUGAGCGAUGAAGUAUUUCGGUAUGUAAAGCUCUAUCAGCAGGGAAGAAAAUGACGGUACCUGACUAAGAAGCACCGGCUAAAUACGUG
rnacentral:rRNA from 1 species